AUAAAUAUAUAUAUAAGCAUUAGAUGGAUACCUUGAUAUUUAUUAAUUUAUAUGGACGUUAUUUAUUUACGAAAAUAUUUAUUGAAUUUUAUAUUAUGAAAUAAAUGUUUCCAAUGAGAAAACUUUUUCUGAAUGAAAUUAAGUUAAAAAUUAGUGAAUUGAAACAUCUUAGUAACUAAGUAAAAAAAUCAAACGAGAGUCUGUGAGUAGUGGCGAACGAAAAUGGAUAAGGGUUUAAAUUAAACAAUUAUUAAAAUUUAUAAAUUAACAUAGAUGGUUUAUAAUUCCAGUAUAAGUUUAAUUUUGUUUAAUUUUAGAGUAAAACGAAAUAGGUGUAAUUUUGUUUGAAGAUAAGGGAACCAUCCUUUAAGCCUAAAUAAAAUAAAUAAUCGAUAGUGAACAAGUACUGUGAAGGAAAGGUGAAAUAGAAUUUACGAAAUUGAAAUAGAACUUGAAAUCUAAUGCUUUUAGCAAUUGGAGCUUUAAUUGAAAAGUGACAAUGUACCUUUUGUAUAAUGGACCAGUAAGUUUAUUUAUAUAGCAAGUUUAAAUUGUUAAAUGGAAACGUAGUGAAAGCGAAUUUGAAAAGAAUUAUUUUUAGUUAUAUAAAUAAGACCCGAAACCAAGUGAUCUAAUUAUGAACAAGUUGAAAAAAUAUUAAAUUAUUUUUGAGGACUGAACCCGUGUCUGUUGCAUAAGAUUGGGAUGAUUUGUGAUUAGGGGUGAAAGGCUAAUCAAACUUGGAGAUAGCUGGUUUUCUGUGAAAUCUAUUUACGUAAAGUAUUAAAAUUAUUUUUUUGGGGUAGAGAUAUCGAUAAAAGAGGGUUGCCUAUAAAGCUUUACUAAUUUUAAGGAAACUUCGAAUACGAAAAAAUAUUUUAAUAAACGGACUUAUAAUGCUAAGGUUGUAAGUCGAGAGGGAAACAGCCCAGAUUGUUUAUUAAGGUCUUUAAAUUUUUUCUUAUAAAAAAUAAGAUAUUAAAUGAAUAUAACUAAGAGUUAGGUUCAGAAGCAGCCAUUCUUUAAAGAAAGCGUAAAAGCUCAUUAGUUUAAUUUAGUAUUUUUUACGAUGUAUAGAGAUUUAAAAGAAAAAUACCGAAAUAGCAAAUUAAAUUUUAUUUUAAAAAUUUAAUAGUAACAGAACGUUCUGUAUGCAAAAAGAUAAAUUGAAAAAUUUAUUAAUGUAUCAGAAGUGAUAAUACUGGUAUGAGUAAUAUAAAUAAUAUUAAAUAGGUAAUUAAAUAUUAUCGUCGAAAAUUUAAGGUUUUUAAUUUAUAAUUGUUAAACAAAAUUAAGUAAUACGGUUUCUAAAAAUUUAAGUGAAAACUUAGUUUGAUGAAUAUUAUAUUCAGAAACUUUUAAAUUUAUAGUUAAUACAAAAUUAUAUUUAAAAUUCAAAAUAUCUGGAUUAGAAAACCGUACUUAAAACCAACAAUGGUAAAUGGGUAGAGUAUACUAAGACGAAAAAGUGAAUCAUAGUGAAGGAACUCGGCAAAUUAACCUUGUAACUUCGGAAUAAAAGGUUUUUAUUAAGUGUAUUUUAAUUAAUAAAAAAAUAGAAAAGGGGGUAGCGACUGUUUAAUAAAAACACAGGACUUUGCAAAAUUGUAAAAUGAUGUAUAAGGUCUGACACCUGCCAGGAACUGUGUAGUUAAAAUUGGAGAGAAUUUAUUUUCAAUCUAAGCAGCAGUAAUCGGCGGCCAUAACUCUGAUGGUCCUAAGGUAGCGAAAUUCCUUGUCAACUAAUUAUUGACGUGCAUGAAUGGUGUAACGACUUCCCCACUGUCUCCACUAUGAGCUUUGUGAAAUUGAAAUAUUUGUGAAGAUGCGAAUUAUAUAUGGUUAGACGGGAAGACCCCGUGCACCUUUACUACAUUUUUUAAUUGAUUAUUUUUAUAAAAGUGUGUAGCAUAAGUGGGAGUUUAAAUUCAGUUUUAAAUAAUAAUGAAAUACCACUCGUUUUAUAAUUAAUAGCUAAUUUAUUAAAAAAUAAUAAAGACAUAUUAAAGAUUGGUAGUUUAACUGGGGUGGUUUUCUCCAAAAAAGUAACGGAGAAAUAUAAAGGUAAAUUAAUAGUUAUUGUUGUGAUAAUUAUUUAUGUGUAAUGGCUUAAAUUUGCUUGACUGUAAGAUUGACAAAUCAAACAGAAACGAAAGUUGAUCAUAGUGACCCGGUAAUUCUUUAUGGAAAGGUUAUCGAUCAAUGGAUAAAAGGUACGCCGGGGAUAACAGGCUUAUAAUUCUCUAGAGUUCAUAUCGACGGAAUUGUUUGGCACCUCGAUGUCGGCUCAUCACAUCCUAGAGCUGAAGAAGGUUCUAAGGGUUUGGCUGUUCGCCAAUUAAAGUGGUACGUGAGCUGGGUUUAAAACGUCGUGAGACAGUUUUGUCCCUAUCUGCCAUAUACAAACGAAAAAAUUAAAUUAAUAAUUCUAGUACGAGAGGACCGAAUUAGAUUGAUCAAUGGUAUAUAAAUUAUUUCUUUUUGAAGUAUUGUUUAGUAGCUAAAUCAAUAAAAGAUAAAUACUGAAUAAAUAUAAGUAUGAAACUUUAUUUAACUUUUUUCGAAAAAAAAAGUAAUAGAACAUUACUUAAAUAGGCUUAAUGUGUAAAUUUUUGCUAAUAAGUACUAAUUUUUUGUUAAAUUUAUAAAAAAUAA
rnacentral:rRNA from 1 species